rnacentral:rRNA from 1 species
UACGUAGGGUGCAGGCGUUUAAUCGGAAUUACUGGGCGUAAAGCGUGCGCAGGCGGUCUGCUAAGAGAGGUGUGAAAUCCCCGGGCUUAACCUGGGAACUGCGCUUCUAACUGGCAGGCUAGAGUGUGGCAGAGGGGGGUGGAAUUCCACGUGUAGCAGUGAAAUGCGUAGAGAUGUGGAGGAACACCGAUGGCGAAGGCAGCCCCCUGGGCUAACACCUGACGCUCAUGCACGAAAGCGUGGGGAGCAACAGGA